rnacentral:lncRNA from 1 species
UUGCUGUUUUUUUUUUUCAAGUAUCCUAAUUCUUUCUUCAGUUAUCCUUCAUCUGUAUUUACAUUUUCAAUUUUAAGGUAAACUUUGUUUUACUAUUAAGCUUUUAAUUUUACUUUUUUUUGUUUCUAGAAGUUGUACUUAUUUUUUAAUCUGGUCAUAUAUUUUAGUUUCUUUUUCUUACCAAUGCUAACGUGUUUAAAGGAAAGGAAAUUUUUCAUGUUUUUUUAUAUAUUUCUAUUUAUUUAUUUGGUCAAAUGAUACUUCUAAGGUCUUUGGGAAAUUGCCACACUGUUUUCCAUGAUAGCUGAACUAAUUCACAUUCUCAUCAGCA